UACGUAGGUGGCAAGCGUUGUCCGGAUUUACUGGGCGUAAAGAGCGCGCAGGCGGUCGUUCAAGUCGCGUGUGAAAGCCCCCGGCUCAACUGGGGAGGGUCACGCGAUACUGAUCGACUCGAAGGCAGGAGAGGGUAGUGGAAUUCCCGGUGUAGUGGUGAAAUGCGUAGAUAUCGGGAGGAACACCAGAGGCGAAAGCGGCGACCUGGACAGGUACUGACACUCAACUACGAAAGCGUGGGGAGCAAACAGG
rnacentral:rRNA from 1 species